rnacentral:tRNA from 1 species
UCUAAUAUGGCAGAAUAGUGCAAUGAAUUUAAGCUUCGUAUAUAAAAAUAUAUUUUUUAUUAGAA